AUUUUUCUUAAAACACGUGUCGAAAGUAUAAGGUAACAAAAAGUGUGGCCCGAAAACUUCAUCGUGGGAGAAGAAAAAAUCAAACUCGAUCGAAAGUUUAUUUAUUUUACACUAACAUUUAAAAGUCACGAGAAAAAUGAAAAUUCGUUCAAAGUUGGAUGAAUUUUGACGCUACUUACCCUAAUAACAGUAAAUUAGUUAGCGUUGGGAUUGAACCAGAGUGAGUGAUAAGAGUCGUAGUUUGGAUGAGAAAAGGUCCAGCGACGACACUCAGCCCCCUUUCGAUAAUAAAAAAUACCGUGAUCGUAGUAACCGCUGUUGAUACGAUUGUCGCCGGCAAAGUAGAUGGCAUCGGCUUUCAAUCCGGCGACGUCUCUCACCGCAAACGGCUGAUUCAUCCCCACGAACAUCGUCAGCCCUUCCAACGACUCCUCCAUCUUCCUCAUCAAUCCGCCGUCGAUCUCGUACNNN
rnacentral:lncRNA from 1 species